CUACACCAUAUAACACAACUGACCAACAACUUAACUCCUUUUAUCUUUACUCAUCUUAAAGCAAAUAAUGCAACCAACAGCAGAGACAGAGACAGUGCCCCCGGCGACAGCGGGGCUGGUUUCCCUCUUCCGGCCCUCCUCCGCCGACACCCGGCGAUCCAAGACGGGCGUUAGCACGGGGAUCCUCCGCUUUCUGAAGAUGAUCCCUCUGCUCACCUCCGGCUGCAAGAUGGCGGCCUUACUCGGUCGUCCCAACAAAGCCCUGUCCUCCGGCCGCAGAGGCGGAGGAGCCGCUACCAUCACCCUGUUCGGCUACCGCCGGGGCCGCGUGAGUUUAGCCAUGCAGGAAGACCCCAAGUCCGCCCCUGUGCUCCUCCUCGAGCUCCCCAUCCUCACCAGCUCGCUCCACCGCGAGAUGGCCUCCGGUCUCGUGAAGAUCGCGCUGGAGAGCGAGGCAGGUAGCGGCGGCGGCGGCACCGGCGGAAGCGGGGAGGAGCCAGAGCAGAGCCAGCGGCGAAGGCGGCUGGUGGACGAGUGCGUGUGGGCGGUGUACUGCAACGGUCGGAAGGCGGGGUUCUCGACGAGGAAGAAGCAGGCGUCGGAAGAGGAGCGCCAGGUGAUGCGACUGCUGCGGGGCGUGUCGAUGGGAGCGGGGGUGCUUCCGGCGGCGGAAAAGGAGGCGGCGGCUCCGGCCGAGGGGGAAUUGACGUACAUGAGGGCGCGCUUCGAGAGGGUGGUGGGGUCGAGGGACUCGGAAGCGUUAUACAUGAUCAACCCCGACGGCACUGGCGUCCCCGAGCUAAGCAUCUUCCUCAUCAGGCUCAACAAUUAAUGGUGUUAAUUGAUUGGCAGCUAUUUCAGUUUUAAUUACUAAUUCAAGAACUUUCUACCUCUCGCUUCGAGUUUUGAGAUAAAACCGUGAGUGCUACACUCGACAAGUGAGGCAGGCUCCAUUGGAUCCCAACCAACUGAUCAGGGCGUGAAUUAAUGAGAGUGGAGAAGGUAGAAGAAGAUGUUGAUGGCUGCCACUGUCACCUGGUACAAUACAAUUAAGCAAGGGGACACAAUUGACCCAAGCCACGAUGGAAAGGACUUGACAUGCCUGCGUCGAUCCAUUGAUUCCUCGGUGCACAACCGUUGAUUCAGCUGUUCAGGUGGGGCAACAUUAAUAUAUAUAGAGAUGAGGAGAUAAACAUAAUGAUCUCGGUUCUCGAUCGAUGAUGAUGUCUUGAGAGAUUGCCUGGUAAUGGAAGAAAUAAUCAUGGGGUUGCAUUAUGAUGUCCCCGGUUGUUGCGCGUGCUUGCAUCCUUCGGCUGAGUUGCUGGAAGUGGCCCAAUCUGCGACGGCCCAGCAUAACUGAUGGAUUCAAAGAGAAUCCAAUUAAUACAAAAUGCUAAUGCACUUUGACUAGACAUUACAUGGAUCAAUUCAGCCCAUGUCCUCCCUUUACCUAAUUCAGAGCGUCUGAAUAUGACUAAUGGUUAGUAGUCAUUCGUGAUUUAUCUUCUCCGUGUUGAUAUAUGGAUGAAUUGACGAGGAC